CAGCCUGAAAUGAUGAUUAGUUAAAUUUCAUGUCUCUUCUCUGACAUUUUCCUCUGGAGAUAAAUUUGCCUUAUCAAUCUGAUCAGGCUG
ensembl:snoRNA